rnacentral:lncRNA from 1 species
UGAAGAGUUCAGCAUCUCUUAGUCAACUAAGUACCACGAGGGCAAGAACCAAACAGAAGGGCGAGAGUACGUGCAGCUGUGCACCAGGCACAUGACACUCACUGGUGGAGCAGCUUCCGCUGGGAAGUCAGCGGAGCUCGCAAAUAGAAAUCGUUAGACUUCCCUGAAGAAAUUCCUAACAACCACCAGUUCUGUGAAACAACAUAUGCUACUCAAUGUUUGAUUAAAUGGGAGGAAAAAAAAUUCCCCAUAGGCAACCUUAGGGGCGUGUAACAUCAUUGGCUCUCAAUCAUUGGAACUGAUCCUGAGGAUGCAUCGGCAAGCGGCAUGCCGUGUCACAACACAACAUCCGGCUAUUUGAAAAACAUCAAAUGCACAACACAGCAUGCAAAAAUAAAUGAAUGUAACAGGAA